UUAUCAUAGCCAGCGUAUGUUUUAUUUGGUAGUUAAGGAACAUAUUAAUAUCCUAUCAUAAGACACACGCGGCUAUGGUCG
rfam:Glossina pallidipes unplaced genomic scaffold Scaffold42, whole genome shotgun sequence.